UUAAGCAUAUCAAUAAGCGGAGGAAAAGAAACCAACAGGGAUUGCCCUAGUAACGGCGAGUGAAGCGGCAACAGCUCAAAUUUGAAAUCUGGCCUUCGGGUCCGAGUUGUAAUUUGUAGAGGAUGCUUUUGGCGCGGUGCCUUCCGAGUUCCCUGGAACGGGACGCCUUAGAGGGUGAGAGCCCCGUACGGUUGGACACCAAGCCUCUGUAAAGCUCCUUCGACGAGUCGAGUAGUUUGGGAAUGCUGCUCUAAAUGGGAGGUAAAUUUCUUCUAAAGCUAAAUACCGGCCAGAGACCGAUAGCGCACAAGUAGAGUGAUCGAAAGAUGAAAAGCACUUUGAAAAGAGGGUUAAAUAGCACGUGAAAUUGUUGAAAGGGAAGCGUUUACGGCCAGACCUUUUCCUGGCGGAUCAUCUGGUGUUCUCACCAGUGCACUCCGCCAGGUUUAGGCCAGCAUCGGCUCCCGUAGGGGGAUAAAAGCAGUGGGAAAGUAGCUCCCUCGGGAGUGUUAUAGCCCGCUGCACAAUACCCUUACAGGGGCCGAGGACCGCGCUUUUGCAAGGAUGCUGGCGUAAUGGUCGUCAACGACCCGU
rnacentral:rRNA from 1 species